UCAUGCUGUGAAAGUAAUAACUGCCCUCUCAUUGUCUGAAUCUGAAUAGGGGAACCAGCCUCCAAGUCCAGCCCCCUUCUUCAGGGAAACUUUGCUUCUCACUGUGCUUCAAGAUGACCUUUGGCUGCAAACAAAAAUGCAUUAUGACUGAAUUCAACAACUCUUAAGAGAUGGACAGAGGAGCUUGAGUCAGGAUCGUGGGGUUCAAAUGGCUACAAUUCCCAAAGAUGUUAAUAACAAAGUUUAAAAAGUGAUGAGCUAGCUCAGAGCAACUAUGAGCUGAUCCAGAAAUGAAGACCCAUCAAGCAGCCACAGAAACAGACAGAAGCCGAAGGCAGACCCACACCUUCCCUCUAGCUUCUGCUGCUGGGGACCCAGAAAGUCUGGCAAAGGGAAACAAGGUGUGGAAAAACAAGAGAAGAAAGCUGUUGUACUUCUACCUGUCUCCACAAGGACCCCACCUGUACACAGGAAAGAUGGA